rnacentral:lncRNA from 1 species
CUCAACAACUCUCAGACUUGAGAGGCAGAACCGGCAACUCCCCAGAACUCUAGAUCUGUUCAGACUAGAACAGCAACACCGGUUCCUCUCUGGAUCUCCAGCUCAGUGACUCUCAGACUUCAAAGGCAGCACCAGCUCCUCCGUGGAUCUCCAGAUCCACAACAUUCAAACCAACAUGGCUCCUCCCUGGGUCUGCAGCUCCACGACCCUCAAACUAGAACAAGACCUCUCCUCCCUGGGCCGCCAGCUUCCUGACCUUCAAACUACAACAACACUGCUCCUCCCUGGGUCUGCAGGUCCAUGACCCUCAGACCAGAACAAGACCUCUCCUCCCUGGGUCGCCAGCUUCCUGACCCUCGAAUUACAACAACCUUGCUCCUCCCUGGGUCUGCAGCUCCACAACCCUGAAACUAGAACAAAAUUUCUCCUACCUGAGUCGCCAGCUUCCUGACACUCGAACGACAACAAAAUUGCUCCUCCCUGGGUCGGCAGCUCCACGACCCUCAAACUCGAACAAGACUUCUCCUCCCCAGGUUGCCAGCUGCCAGACCCUCGAAUUACAACAACAUUGCCCCUCCCUGGGUCUGCAGCUCCACGACCCUCAGACUAGUACAAGACCUCUCCCUGGGUCGCCAGCUUCCUGACCGUCGAACUACAACAAAAUUGCUCCUCCCUGCGUCUGCAGCUCCACGACCCUCACACCAGAAGAAGACCUCUCCUCCCUGGGUCGCCAGCUUCCUGACCCUCGAACUACAACAAAAUUGCUCCUCCCUGGGUCUGCAGCUCCACGACCCUCAGACCAGAACAAGACCUCUCCUCCCUGGGUCGCCAGCUUUCUGACCCUCGAACUAUAACAACAAUGCUCCUGCCUCAGUCUGCAGCUCCACGACCCUGAAACUAGAACAAGACGUCUCCUCCCUAAGUCUCCAGCUCCAACACCCUCAGAUCUGAGCAGCGGCAGCACCAGCUCCUUUCUGGGUCUUCUGUUUCACGAUCCUUAAAUUAGAACAGCAGCACCAUCUUCUCCCUGGGUCUCCAGCUCCACGAAACUCAAGCUAGAAUAGCAGCACCGGCUCCUCUGGGAUCUUCAGCUCCACGACCCUAAGACAUCAGUGGCAGCACCGGCUCCUCCCCUGGACUCCAGCUCCAGGACCCUCAAACUUGAACAGAAACACCAGCUCCUCCCCAGGCCUCCAGCUCCUUGACCCUCAUAAACAAUCCCUUCUCAUGAAAUGUAGCAGUCAGGAAAACUGUAGAGGAAGUAAAUAAAUAAAUGUUUUCCUUUCAAA